UACGUAGGGGGCAAGCGUUGUCCGGAAUUAUUGGGCGUAAAGCGCGCGCAGGCGGUUUAUUAAGUUGGAUGUAAAAGGCAAUGGCUCAACCAUUGUAUGCAUUCAAAACUGAUAAGCUUGAGUGCAGGAGAGGAGAGUGGAAUUCCCGGUGUAGCGGUGGAAUGCGUAGAGAUCGGGAGGAACACCAGUGGCGAAGGCGACUCUCUGGCCUGCAACUGACGCUGAGGUGCGAAAGCGUGGGGAGCAAACAGG
rnacentral:rRNA from 1 species